GCGUCGAUGGUGCAGUGGAAUAGCACCCUGCCUGGUAAGCAAGGGGUGCGGGUUCGAGUUCCGCCUGGCACU
rnacentral:tRNA from 1 species